GUCUCUGUGGCUCAGUCGGUAGAGCGUUGGUCUCAUAUUACUUCAAUCAAUAUGACGCUGGGAACUCAUCCCGGGGAUAUCCAAAGGUCGCAAGUUCGAGCCUUGCCAGGGACA
rnacentral:tRNA from 1 species